UUCUCUCUGCUCUGUGCGUGAGGUUGUAAAACCCCUGCGGAAUGUUAAUCGAACGGGAACUUUUCAGGUCGUGGUGUGCUGCCCCUCUGCGGGAAUUGCCUGAAGCGACACAUAAGUGGCCCACCUUUACAGUUACUCGCUGUGAGGUCCCUAGACCAACGGCAAAGUGGAGAGCUU
rnacentral:other from 1 species